AAGUCGUAACAAGGUCUCCGUAGGUGAACCUGCGGAGGGAUCAUCAAAGGAUUAACAACCCAUUUCCAAGUGUUUUUGGUUGGUUGGUUCUCCAACCAGCCAGGACACUUUAACCAAACGAUCACAACUAAGAGAGAAUGAUUUGAUGUCUGCUGCUGGGUUUUUGAUUCGAGAGGAGAAAAAACCACACAGACAAGAUAAGAAAAAGUGUUUGCCUGAUAAUUGGUUGAUUUUGAUAAAAACAAAUCUAUACAACUUUCAACAACGGAUCUCUUGGCUCUCA
rnacentral:misc_RNA from 1 species